AUGGGGUUACCGACGCACGACGCUUUGACCGACACCGUCACCGCUUCCCCCGCCGCCGGCCCCGCCGAGGACACUUCGACGGACGCUUCUGGCGCGCCGAGCCGCCUGUACCGCGCGUUCAGUCGCGCCCGCGAUGUGCUGGCACCCGUAUACCAGACGCUUAGGUUCGUCGGCAGCGUUGCCCAACUUGUCGUCGGCGUGAUGGAAAUUGCUCGGGACGUGCGCUAUGUCGCAAAUUGUGCAAGAGGCGCUCUCUACCGCGGACGCGGUGGCGACCCUCCCGCUGAAGGUGGUCAUGCUCUGGAGUCAGGACCGCAGCGGCAGGCUCCCGUCGACGGUGACGGUGACGGUGCUUCAGUCAAGUAA
rnacentral:rRNA from 1 species